UACGUAGGGGGCAAGCGUUGUCCGGAAUCAUUGGGCGUAAAGAGCGUGUAGGCGGCCUGAUAAGUCGGUUGUGAAAGUCAAGGGCUCAACCCUUGAAUGCCGGCCGAUACUGUUAGGCUAGAGUCCGGAAGAGGCGAGUGGAAUUCCUGGUGUAGCGGUGAAAUGCGCAGAUAUCAGGAGGAACACCGAUGGCGAAGGCAGCUCGCUGGGACGGUACUGACGCUGAGACGCGAAAGCGUGGGGAGCGAACAGG
rnacentral:rRNA from 1 species